UUGCCUCGGCGGAUCAGCCCGCGCCCUGUAAAACGGGACGGCCCGCCCGAGGACCCUAAACUCUGUUUUUAGUGGAACUUCUGAGUAAAACAAACAAAUAAAUCAAAACUUUCAACAACGGAUCUCUUGGUUCUGGCAUCGAUGAAGAACGCAGCAAAAUGCGAUAAGUAAUGUGAAUUGCAGAAUUCAGUGAAUCAUCGAAUCUUUGAACGCACAUUGCGCCCGCCAGUAUUCUGGCGGGCAUGCCUGUUCGAGCGUCAUUUCAACCCUCAAGCUCANCUUGGUGUUGGGACUCGCGGUAACCCGCGUUCCCCAAAUCGAUUGGCGGUCACGUCGAGCUUCCAUAGCGUAGUAAUCAUACACCUCGUUACUGGUAAUCGUCGCGGCCACGCCGUAAAACCCCAACUUCUGAAUGUUGACCUCGGAUCAGGUAGGAAUACCCGCUGAACUUAAGCAUAUCAAUAA
rnacentral:rRNA from 1 species